rnacentral:rRNA from 1 species
CAUAUAAGACGAGAAGACCCCAUGGAGCUUUAAACCCAACAACACCCGCUCCCCUCCAAAUCCUAUUAUUUACCCGGUGAUUGUUUGUUUGGUUUUAGGUUGGGGUGACCGCGGAGUAUAAGAUAUCCUCCAUGAAAAAAAGCUAACUGCCCUUAUUAGAGAAAGACACUUCCAAAAAAUAAUAAAUUAAUUUUAAAUGAUCCGACAUUCGAUCAACGAACCAAGUUACCCUGGGGAUAACAGCGCAAUCCGUCCCGAGAGCCCCUAUCGACAG